GCAAGUCGAACGAACGACCUCGGGCUUGCCCGGGGAAGUGAGUGGCGAACGGCUGAGUAACGCGUAGGUGACCUGCCCAGAAGUGGGGAAUAACUGCCCGAAAGGGUGGCUAAUACCGCAUAUGGUUAUGAAUUCAGUUUCAUGUCCAAAGCCUUCGGGCGCUACUGGAGGGGCCUGCGUUCGAUUAGCUCGUUGGUGAGGUAACGGCUCACCAAGGCGACGAUCGAUAGGUGGUCUGAGAGGAUGAUC
rnacentral:rRNA from 1 species